UACGAAGGGUGCAAGCGUUACUCGGAAUUACUGGGCGUAAAGCGUGCGUAGGUGGUGCGUUAAGUCUGUCGUGAAAGCCCCGGGCUCAACCUGGGAAUGGCGAUGGAUACUGGCGCGCUAGAGUGCGGUAGAGGAGAGUGGAAUUCCCGGUGUAGCAGUGAAAUGCGUAGAGAUCCGGAGGAACACCGAUGGCGAAGGCAGGUCUCUGGGCUGACACUGACGCUCAUGCACGAAAGCGUGGGGAGCAAACAGG
rnacentral:rRNA from 1 species